GGAUCAUUGUCGAAAUCGAACGGAAGAACGACCCGCGAAUCGUCAUUGCGUAGUAGACAGAGCCCGUGAGCACCUAACGCUCACGGGUCUCGCGUCGCGUCGGCGCGGGUGUACUCGAGACCCGCGUCGUACCGGCGGACAAACAACGUCAGCACGGAUCGUGCCAAGGAGCUGCAUGGAGAGAAUCGUCGUCCCCCGCCUUUGAUAGUCGUCCUCGACGCGGGACGGGGGAUGUACGCAAUCUCUACUCAAAAGUCUAAACGACUCUCGGCAACGGAUAUCUCGGCUCUUGCAUCGAUGAAGAACGUAGCGAAAUGCGAUACUUGGUGUGAAUUGCAGAAUCCCGUGAACCAUCAAUUCUUUGAACGCAAGUGCGCCCGAAGCCAUUCGGCCGAGGGCACGCCUGCCUGGGCGUCGUGAAUCCCCUUGCCCCUAGGCACCCGCACGAGCAUCGGCGGGGACAUAUCCUCGGGCGCAGAAUAUGGUCUCCCGUGGGAUCGGCAUGCACGGCAUGACGAGGUGCGGUUGGCCGAAAAUCGAGCAUGGCGGUGACGGGCACCACGGCGUUCGGUGGAUCGAAUGAGAUUGGCUGCGUCGUGGGCUCGGCAUGCGGCGGGCUCCGGACUUUGAAUAUCCCCGAGUGCGAUCCCAGGUCAGGCGGGGCUACCCGCUGAGUUUAAGCAUAUCAAUAAGCGGAGGAAAAGAAACUAACGAGGAUUCCCUUAGUAGCGGC
rnacentral:rRNA from 1 species